UACGAAGGGGGCUAGCGUUGUUCGGAAUUACUGGGCGUAAAGCGCACGUAGGCGGCGCGACAAGUUAGGCGUGAAAUGCCUGGGCUUAACCCAGGAACUGCGCUUAAGACUGUCGUGCUAGAGACUAGGAGAGGGUGGCGGAAUUCCCAGUGUAGAGGUGAAAUUCGUAGAUAUCGGGAGGAACACCUGUGGCGAAGGCGGCCAUCUGGACAGUCACUGACACUGAGACGCGAAAGCGUGGGUAGCAAACAGG
rnacentral:rRNA from 1 species